rnacentral:rRNA from 1 species
CUCGGUGAUCGGAGCGACGUGGUCCCACCUCUUCCCUUCCCGAACAGAGUCGUGAAACGCGUCAGCGCUGACGAUAGUAUAUGGGCAACUGUAUGCGAAAAUAAGUCAUCGCCGGGG